rnacentral:rRNA from 1 species
CCUACGGGGGGCAGCAGUGGGGAAUAUUGCUCAAUGGGGGAAACCCUGAUGCAGCGACGCCGCGUGAGUGAAGAAGUAAUUCGUUAUGUCAAGCUCUAUCAGCCGGGAAGAAAAUGACGGUACCUGAGUAAGAAGCACCGGCUAACUACGUGACAGCAGCCGCGGUAAUGCGUAGGGGGCAAGCGUUAUCCGGAUUUACUGGGUGUAAAGGGAGCGUAGACGGCAGUGCAAGUCUGGAGUGAAAGGCGGGGGCUCAACCCCCGGACUGCUCUGGAAACUGUACGGCUGGAGUGCAGGAGAGGUAAGUGGAAUGCCUAGUGUAGCGGUGAAAUGCGUAGAUAUUAGGAGGAACACCAGUUGCGAAGGCGGCGUACUGGACUGUAACUGACGUUGAGGCACGAAAGCGUGGGGAUCAAACAGGAUUAGAUACCCCUGUAGUC